CUGCGAAGAUGGCGGAGUAAGGCGUGCCGCUGCAAACUGGCCUCUGGGCCGGGGGCGAGCAGCCCCCGGGAGGCCGAGUGCAUCUGUUGGACCGUGCGAGGAGAAGAAAAAAAAUAUCGGCCAGAGGAGAGGAACUAACCGAACAUUCUUCCUCCCUACCUUAUAGAGGGGAGUGGUCAUCUACACUAAAGCAAAGUGUUAGGCGCGUCCGUGCGAAGAGACCACCAAACAGGCUUUGUGUUCCUUAUCACAGGAAGAAAAUUUUCCUUGACCUUUAGGUGCUUUUAUAUUCAUCUCAAAAACAAAAUUCUGAACUCAGGACUUGGCAAACCACCGCUGAAACUUCACUUCUACACAGAGGCUUUCUUUCCCAGAAACCCAGACCAGUAGAGACGAGGUUUCACCACGUUGGCGAGGCUGGUCUUGAACUCCUGACCUCAAGUGAUCCACUGCCUCGGCCUCCGAAAAUCUGGAAUUAUAGAUGUGAGCCACUGCGCCAGGCCUGUAAUUUUAUGUAUCUUUAUGUGAUUAUUUGAAUGUCCCUCUCUGACUAGAUUAUAAAUUCUAAGGAUAGUGUGUCUAUUUUUGCUUACCUUUUAUCCCCAGCACCUAGUCUAACACUUUACAAAUAUAUAUUAAAUUAAUAUUUUGAUAAGUUACUCAAAGUGCUACAUAAAACAAAAUUAUAGAAAAUAGUACUUUGGUAACUGUUUCGUUUUAUCAUUGCUUUCAUUAUUUCUCUGUUAACCUCAGUUUACAACUGAAAAAGACAAAUUGUAUAUUAUUCAGGCAAUUUAUUAAACAUUACCUAUA
rnacentral:lncRNA from 1 species